ensembl:misc_RNA Metazoa_SRP Metazoan signal recognition particle RNA
GCCAGGCAUGGUGGUGUGCGCCUGUAAUCCCAGCUACUGGAGAGGCUGAGCCAGGAGGAUUGCUUGAGCCCAGGAGGUCAAGGUUGCAGUGAGCUAUGAUCAUGUCACUGCAUUCCAGCCUGGGCGAUAAAGCAAGACCCUGUCUCAA